AGUUAUCUGAACCUUCGGGGAACGAUAACGGCGUCGAGCGGCGGACGGGUGAGUAAUGCCUAGGAAAUUGCCCUGAUGUGGGGGAUAACCAUUGGAAACGAUGGCUAAUACCGCAUAAUGCCUACGGGCCAAAGAGGGGGACCUUCGGGCCUCUCGCGUCAGGAUAUGCCUAGGUGGGAUUAGCUAGUUGGUGAGGUAAGGGCUCACCAAGGCGACGAUCCCUAGCUGGUCUGAGAGGAUGAUCAGCCACACUGGAACUGAGACACGGUCCAGACUCCUACGGGAGGCAGCAGUGGGGAAUAUUGCACAAUGGGCGCAAGCCUGAUGCAGCCAUGCCGCGUGUGUGAAGAAGGCCUUCGGGUUGUAAAGCACUUUCAGUCGUGAGGAAGGUAGUGUAGUUAAUAGCUGCAUUAUUUGACGUUAGCGACAGAAGAAGCACCGGCUAACUCCGUGCCAGCAGCCGCGGUAAUACGGAGGGUGCGAGCGUUAAUCGGAAUUACUGGGCGUAAAGCGCAUGCAGGUGGUUUGUUAAGUCAGAUGUGAAAGCCCGGGGCUCAACCUCGGAAUUGCAUUUGAAACUGGCAGACUAGAGUACUGUAGAGGGGGGUAGAAUUUCAGGUGUAGCGGUGAAAUGCGUAGAGAUCUGAAGGAAUACCGGUGGCGAAGGCGGCCCCCUGGACAGAUACUGACACUCAGAUGCGAAAGCGUGGGGAGCAAACAGGAUUAGAUACCCUGGUAGUCCACGCCGUAAACGAUGUCUACUUGGAGGUUGUGGCCUUGAGCCGUGGCUUUCGGAGCUAACGCGUUAAGUAGACCGCCUGGGGAGUACGGUCGCAAGAUUAAAACUCAAAUGAAUUGACGGGGGCCCGC
rnacentral:rRNA from 1 species